CAGUCGCCGCGGUAAUACGAAGGGGGCUAGCGUUGUUCGGAUUAACUGGGCGUAAAGGGCGCGUAGGCGGGUUUUUAAGUCAGAGGUGAAAUCCCAAGGCUCAACCUUGGAACUGCCUUUGAUACUGGAAGUCUUGAGUCCGGGAGAGGUGAGUGGAACUGCGAGUGUAGAGGUGAAAUUCGUAGAUAUUCGCAAGAACACCAGUGGCGAAGGCGGCUCACUGGCCCGGUACUGACGCUGAGGCGCGAAAGCGUGGGGAGCAAACAGGAUUAGAUACCCCGUAGUCCCUGUCUCUUAUACC
rnacentral:rRNA from 1 species